rnacentral:lncRNA from 1 species
CCCGUCCCGUCCGCGCAGCGCGUCCGGCCCGCCCGCAGGCCAGCUUCUCUCGGGAGCCCCCACCCAGGCGCAUGGCUCCAUGAAGCAAGAGGAGGAGGCAGAGCGCGAGAGGUCCCGUCCGCCCCAGCCGCGUCUGGGCCAGGAUAAAAGCAAAACCAUAUUCCUGCUGCUGUCAGUUAUGAUGCACUGAGAAAACUUCAGAGACCUAAACUUUUUCCAGAGAAGAGAAGCUUUACUGGUGUUCCAGCCCUAAGAAACCUUUGUUCAAGAAAACGGCAGAUGCUCUGUUGAAUCCACUGGAGAUUGUUCUGAUACUAAGGACAAGUAUCAACCAUCUUUCCUGUGAAAAAUUCCCUCUCGUACUUUAGUUCUGUGGAUCCAAAAUUUAUAGCAUUCUUCUACCACCACAGGGGCUCAUAUGACAUUAACAGACAAGACACUUUUCAGAAAGACAGGCAACGUGUUGGACCUUCCGGAGCUUCUCAGAAGACAGAGGGUUUUCUUUUGAGACAGGGUCUCAUUCUG